rnacentral:lncRNA from 1 species
CCUGCUCUGCAAAUCAACAUCUGAAAAUCUACGGGUCACCAUAGUCUUCUGAUCCACUAAUAAGAUUCCGCGCUCGAGAUGAUGUGACCUGAACGAAAAGAUAGAUACAUCCGAGCUGCCCAAGGAUAUGGUCUGGGUACCGAUCUGCUAGGAUAAGGGGGAGAUCCUAGUACUCAAAAGGCUGGGUAAAUUUCGAAAUUAAGCGGAGGAAAUCCACCAAUAAGAGAGUAAUAGAAAAUACUGUUAUCAUGAAGAAAUUCUUUCAAUCCAUUAAGAAGAUACUUAAUUCGUUAUACAAUAGAGACGGGGAAAAAGAUGAUGAUAAAAAACUCCACAAUAAUAAGAAAUCCAAGAAAAAAGAUAUAACGGAUGAGGAAGGAGCUAAAGAACCUAUCAACAAUGAUGCAUCUAGUGGCAGUAAUGAUGCAUCUACUUCUACUUCCCCUAACCCUAAUGAUGGUUCUAGUUCCACUAAUGAUGGAACAAAUCCAAAUGUGAAAACUAGUGCACCUAAGCACGACGAUCAUGGUAUAAUCCACCAUUUUAUAUGGGGUUGUGGUAGUUCAAACAGUGGAGAUAGUUCCAACAGUGGUUGGACUUCCUACUUGAAUUCACCUAUUGAUAGAUUUGUGAAAAAUCGAAAAACAUUUACCAAUUUAGAUCAAAGAGGUCUAAAUGGUUUUAUUGCCAAAAUAAUAGGGUUUAUAGGUCCAACAACAAUUGUGCUUCCAUUCUUUUAUAACAGUUGGAUGCCGAGGAUAGGUUUGUUUUCCAUGUUUGUUAGAGAGCCACACGACUUUCAAAUAGGAGUUAGCGUACGACCAUAUACCAUGUUUCACAAUUAUGGAACUCUACUUAUGGAAUAUGUAUAUAUAAAAUAUUUGUUCCACGCUCAGGUAGGCUGGCGACAAUAUAAAUGUAUAUAUUUGAUAAGUUUAAAGAAAUAAAUGAUUCGCUAGGUUUCUUUUUUAUCGAUAAUAUUUACUUAAGGGAUACUUUUGACGUUAUUCAGCGAUUCUCACAUAGCGGUCUUGGUUUGAAAUCCCUUUUGAAACGUGAAAUCAUAAACAAGUUGGUUGAAGUAGUAAUACCAUUUUAUGAUGAGAAUUCUAAGUCGUAUGUGUACGUUUUUUUUGCUUUUCUAGUAUACGCAGGGUUAUUUUGUACUGUCUGGUAUAAGUAUAUACCAUGGGAUCCAUAUAUAAAACCUGCUGAUUUAGCUCCACCAUCACUGGAUGUAUUUAACACCUAUCAUGCCGAUGUCGUGGGUUAUAAGAAGGUCACAUACCUGAUUACUAAGGACAUUGUCCAAACAAACUAUGGUAGACACCUUUAAACAACCAUCAUUUAACGAAGUAGUAAAUUCGAAUGACUACAACCUUGAUCAAUCUGAUCACAAAGUGUGUUUUUCAUGCUUAUGCACUGGUAUCAUGGUUUCUAUGUUGUUAGUAAUAAAAACACUUCUUCCACAUUAAACAGUACUGCAUAGAUACAAGUUUAGCAUAAUGAAUUUCUGAGUUAUUUCACAUAAGGAAUUUACAAGCUAAUGAAAAUCAAUAGAUUUAUAGGAUAUCUAUCUAAAUACGGCUCCUAUCGUUUAAGGUUAGUAAAUACAUACUAGGAAAUGCUCUUCAGGGAUACCAGAACUGGAAGAUCCUGUCAAGGGGAAACAGGACCUUAAUAAGCGCCAUCCCGAGACUUGGACUCGAGGGAUGGUAAGAUCAAUAGGAGAAGGAGAUAUGAUACAAUUACUAUGAUCAGGAUACCUUAUAUGAGCCAUACUUAUCCAGGGAAUCAAUCGCGUGAGGGUGUUGUUGAUAGAGGGAGCUCUGGCCAGGAGAGGCUAGAGCGAGUGAUAGCAACGGAAAGGUAAGAUCAAGAAGGAAACAAGGCUUAAGAGGACCCUAAUGCACCAAUACUUUAGGCAUUCCAACUUCCAAUACAUACUUAUCAUGGAAUGAAAUCCAAGAGGAGCAAGCAUAUCACUGAGAAUAGCUAGCUGAAAUCAAGGAUGCUAUCACAAUAUUCAAUGGAAUCGUUACAUCGGAAUAAGAUAGACCCGCUUCGAUGCUGUAUUCAGUAUGUCAGCUAGGAGCCAGAACUCAGUAUGCCAUAGUCAUACAAUCAACCUGUGUAUUAACAGCAAUAUCUAGACAGGCAGGAUGGAUUAAUUAUAUUGAUGGCCAAGAUAAGGUGCUCAAAGGGGAAGCACUCUUCAUCAAGUAAUGACCCUUGGGG